CGGCACGGGUGAGUAACACGUAUGCAACCUGCCUGCCACAGCCGGAUAAUCGGGAGAAAUUCCGUUCUAAUACGGCAUAAUGCAUCGACGGGACAUCCUGUUGGUGCCAAAGGUUAAUUCCGGUGGCGGAUGGGCAUGCGUCGCAUUAGUUAGUUGGCGGUGUAACGGACCACCAAGACGACGAUGCGUAGGGGUUCUGAGAGGAAGGUCCCCCACACUGGUACUGAGACACGGACCAGACUCCUACGGAAGGCAGCAG
rnacentral:rRNA from 1 species